rnacentral:rRNA from 1 species
CUCCCUGAGUAGCGGCGAGCGAAAAGGGAUCAGCCUAAACCGAGUGCUACGGCACUCGGGGUCGUGGGAUCAGUGUUAGGGUUACAAAACAGGUGGUUAGGAGAACUGGAUCGGAAAGCCAGGCCAAAGAGGGUGAUAGUCCCGUAUCCGAAAAUCAACCUGUCCCGUUAUGCACUGACUCCCGAGUACGUCCGGGCACGUGAAACCUGGACCGAAUCUGCGGGGCCCAUCCCGUAAGGCUAAGCAUUAACUAGCGACCGAUAGUGAAUCAAGUAGCGCGAGCGAAAGAUGAAAAGAACCCCGAAAGGGGAGGGAAAGACCCUGAAACCGUGUGCCUACAAGCUGUCGGAGCCCGCAAGGGUGACGGCGUGCCUAUUGAAUAAUGAUCCGGCGAGUUAUUGUCAUUGGCUGGCUAAGGUCCUCUGGACUGGAGCCUAAGGGAAACCGAGUCUGAAUAGGGCGUAAAUGGUCAAUGGGAAUAGACGCGAAUCUUAGCGAACUACGCAUGGGCAGGUUGAAGCGUGGGUAAGACUGCGUGGAGGACCGAACUCACUGAUGUUGAAAAAUCAGGGGAUGACCUGUGUGGAGGAUUAAAAGUAUCAUCAAGCUGAGGGAUAGCUCGUUCUCUCCGAAAUAACUUUAGGGUUAGCCUCGUAGAACUAUGCUGCAGGGGUAGAGAGACUGAACUGGGUCGAGGGCUCACAAGGCUACUCGCCCUAACCAAACUCCGAAUACUGCAGUAACUACUACGGGAGGUAGUCUCUGAGGGAGAAGCUUCAGAGUCGAGAGGGAAACAACCCAGAUCGUCUGCUAAGGCCCCAAAGUCUGGCUCAGUCACAAAGGAUGUCCGAUUGCUAUGACAGCCGGGAUGUUGGCUUAGAAGCAGCCACCAUUUAAAAAGUGCGUAAUAGCUUACCGGUCGAGCAGUCGUGCACCGAUAAUGAACGGGAGUAAGUCAGACGCCGAAGCAGCGGGCCCGCAAGGGCGGUAGGAGAGCGUUCCAUGCCAGCAAGUAGAACCGUGAGGUUCUAUUCAGGGGCCUGGAAGUGUUUAUGCCGGAAUGAGUAACGAUAAGACAAGUGAGAAGCUUGUCCGCCGCAAGCCUAAGGUUUCCUGGGGAAGGUAAUUCCGCCCAGGGUCAGCCGGUACCUUAGCCGAGGCCGAAGGGCGUAGGCGAUGGAGAGCAGGUUAAUAUUCCUGCGCUGAUUUGUGGACCGAUGGGGGGACGUUGUGUAGAUGGUGAGCGGGCGAUUAGAAGCGCCCGUCGGGGUACUCAAGGUUGUGGAUAGGUAAAUCCGCCACAUCGACCAAGAGUAUCACGCGAGUCCCUGGUUGAUGAAGUCAUCUGAAGCAUAACCAAGAAAAGCCUCUAGGGUUGAAGCAAACAACCGUACUAAAACUGACACAGGUAGGCGAGGCGAGUAGCCUAAGGCGCGCGGGAGAACGGUGGUUAAGGAACUCUGCAAAUUUUCCCCGUAACUUCGGGAUAAGGGGCGCCCUGCGAUGUGUUAAAGCAUUGCGGGGCCGCAGGAAUUGGCUCUAGCGACUGUUUAUCAAAAACACAGGUCUCUGCGAACUCGUAAGAGGAUGUAUAGAGACUGACGCCUGCUCGGUGCCGGUAAGUUAAGGAAGAGGGUGAGGCGCAAGCUGAAGCCCGCAACCGAAGCUCCGGUAAACGGCGGCCCUAACUAUGAGGGUCCUAAGGUAGCGAAGUUCCUUGUCGGGUAAGUUCCGACGUGCAUGAAAGGCGUAAUGAGAG